GGUUAAGCGACUAAGCGUACACGGUGGAUGCCCUGGCAGUCAGAGGCGAUGAAGGACGUGCUAAUCUGCGAUAAGCGUCGGUAAGGUGAUAUGAACCGUUAUAACCGGCGAUUUCCGAAUGGGGAAACCCAGUGUGAUUCGUCACACUAUCAUUAACUGAAUCCAUAGGUUAAUGAGGCGAACCGGGGGAACUGAAACAUCUAAGUACCCCGAGGAAAAGAAAUCAACCGAGAUUCCCCCAGUAGCGGCGAGCGAACGGGGAGCAGCCCAGAGCCUGAAUCAGUGUGUGUGUUAGUGGAAGCGUCUGGAAAGGCGCGCGAUACAGGGUGACAGCCCCGUACACAAAAAUGCACAUGCUGUGAGCUCGAUGAGUAGGGCGGGACACGUGGUAUCCUGUCUGAAUAUGGGGGGACCAUCCUCCAAGGCUAAAUACUCCUGACUGACCGAUAGUGAACCAGUACCGUGAGGGAAAGGCGAAAAGAACCCCGGCGA
rnacentral:rRNA from 1 species